AACGAACGCUGGCGGCAUGCCUAACACAUGCAAGUCGAACGAGACCUUCGGGUCUAGUGGCGCACGGGUGCGUAACGCGUGGGAACCUGCCCUUAGGUUCGGAAUAACUCCCCGAAAGGGGUGCUAAUACCGGAUAAUGUCUUCGGACCAAAGAUUUAUCGCCUUUGGAUGGGCCCGCGUUGGAUUAGCUAGUUGGUAGGGUAAAAGCCUACCAAGGCGACGAUCCAUAGCUGGUCUGAGAGGAUGAUCAACCACGCUGGGACUGAGACACGGCCCAGACUCCUACGGAGGGCAGCAGUAGGGAAUAUUGGACGAUGGGCGAAAGCCUGAUCCAGCAAUGCCGCGUGAGUGAUGAAGGCCUUAGGGUUGUAAAGCUCUUUUACCCGGGAUGAUAAUGACAGUACCGGGAGAAUAAGCUCCGGCUAACUCCGUG
rnacentral:rRNA from 1 species